rnacentral:lncRNA from 1 species
UUCAGCAAGUUAUUUAGUGUAUAUGUGAGGGUUUCGGAGGGGGCUGGCACUACCUGAAUGCCAACCAUAGUUUUAAUACAUGACCAUUAUGUUCUUCUAUGUUUAGGAGGGUACUUAGUGUCUUGAAGGUGGGGCCAGAAGUCGGUGGUGCAUGCAGAGGUCGGGAGUGAGGAUUCAGAGAGAAAAUACUCACCAGGCCUGGUGCCAACCAACCCUCUGACCUUGGCCCAGUUUGACACAAGGCCCAGUGUGAACACUGCAACCUUGGGACGUCCUCUUCCUCUUAUGGUGAUUCUUUACCAAUAACAGCAAGCGUGCAUCUCAGAGACCUCUCAGGUUCUUCUCACGCAUGAAUACCCACCACGGCGAUGAUCCUAGCUAACCAUGCCUACCCCUGCCUUAGUCCCUGCAGGUGGUCCUGACACCGCAGUACUGAAAGCCCUGAGGCUCCCUGCUGACUCACAGCCCAUCCUGACAGGCAAGAACAUCAGCCUCUCAGAUGCACAGUGUACCACUGGCUCCAGCGUAAUCCAAGUCGCCAGGAGACAUGAACAAAACCACUGCCUCCUCACUAACCAUCCCCAGAUCUAUCCAAAUACAACCUUCUUUUCAAAAUUGAUCAUGUCCUCACCAGCUCAGAUAUGUUUGUAGCAACAGUAACUGGGUGAUGAGUGAUGGCCAAAGAUUCUGUUUGAAUCAAAGUCUGUGACACUGUCAUUUUGACUGAUCUGCUUAAGUUUAUGAAAUACAAACAUUCUGUGCUCUGGGUUCUAAGAUAUCUACGCGUGUAGGACAUAUAAUAUAAAGAACUUUUUAAAAUAUCACACACCAAAAGACCAAUCAAUACAUGGCCACAUUAGACAAAAGGCUCUCAAAAAAGACACAAUUCCAUAUAUAAAUGUGUGAAUGAGUGUGUGUGUGUUCAAAACCCACAUCCACCAAGGAAAUGCAAAUCAAAACUGCACUGAGAUACAUCUGUCUCAAGCAGUCAGAAUGGCUGUCACCAAGAGAAAAAUACACUAACAAACAGUGGUAAAGAUGAAGAGGAAAAGCAAACCUGUCACACUGUGGUGGGAAAGGAACUAGAGAAGGCACAGAGGAGAGCAGUAGGAGGCCCUCAAAAGCUGGAAGCUGCUAACAUAGGAUUCAGCUCUACCACCUCUGAGAAUCUAUGUGAAGGAACCUACCACACCACAGAGACUCUGGCACACCUGUGUGAUCACCGCAACAUGCAUAGACGAGUUACAUAAUCAUGUUAGAUAUUCACCAGUGAAUGAAUGCAAGGAGAAAAUGCAACACACAAUUCAUAGUGGAGUCUUUCUUAGCUAUAAUGAAUAAAAUUAUAUCAUGUGCAGAAAGAUGUAAAGUG